CCAACAGGGAUUGCCUCAGUAACGGCGAGUGAAGCGGCAACAGCUCAAAUUUGAAAUCUGGCUUUCGGGCCCGAGUUGUAAUUUGGAGAGGGAGUUUCGGAAGCGGCGCCGGCCUAAGUUCCUUGGAACAGGGCGUCGUAGAGGGUGAGAAUCCCGUAUGUGGCCGGCGGUCAAUUCCGUGUGAAACCCCUUCGACGAGUCGAGUUGUUUGGGAAUGCAGCUCAAAAUGGGUGGUAAAUUUCAUCUAAAGCUAAAUACCGGCCAGAGACCGAUAGCGCACAAGUAGAGUGAUCGAAAGAUGAAAAGCACUUUGGAAAGAGAGUUAAAAAGUACGUGAAAUUGUUGAAAGGGAAGCGCUUGCAACCAGACUUGCUCGCGGGUGAUCAACCCCCCUUCGUGGGAGGUGCACUCGCCCGCGAUCAGGCCAGCAUCGGUUUCGACGGGUGGAUAAAGGCUCCAGGAAUGUAGCUCCCUUCGGGGAGUGUUAUAGCCUGGAGUGCCAUGCGCCCCGCCGGGACCGAGGACCGCGCUUCGGCUAGGAUGCUGGCGUAAUGGUUGUAAGCGACCCGUCUUGAAACACGGACCAAGGAGUCUAACAUCUAUGCGAGUGUUUGGGUGAUAAACCCCGGCGCGGAAUGAAAGUGAACGGAGGUGGGAGCCCCUUUCGGGGGGCGCACCAUCGACCGAUCCAGAUGUCUUCGGAUGGAUUUGAGUAGGAGCAUAGCUGUUGGGACCCGAAAGAUGGUGAACUAUGCCUGGAUAGGGUGAAGCCAGAGGAAACUCUGGUGGAGGCUCGCAGCGGUUCUGACGUGCAAAUCGAUCGUCAAAUCUGGGUAUAGGGGCGAAAGGCAAGCUACCCGGUUAAUUCUUCUUUUAGGGACAAAUUUGCUAACAAUUUUUACAGACUAAUCGAACCAUCUAGUAAAUCGCUACUAGAAAUACUACACGAAGUAUGGGCUGUACACGCCAUAGUAGUCCCCCGAUUCUAGGGGGGCCACACCGCCGGUCUUCGGGGAUACCAUUAUAAGGUUACCCGUACUGAGCCUCGGGCUCAGUCACAGACUAAGUGGCGGUGGCCGCGGGACGAGCCUGCGGUUAGGAUAUAGUCGGCGGGACCUCUAACGGGGUGCCCGGUACGCGGCUGGUUUCAGCCGAAGUUUCCCUCAGGAUAGCAGUAACGUUUUCAGUUUUAUGAGGUAAAGCGAAUGAUUAGAGGCCUUGGGGGUGAAACACCCUUAACCUAUUCUCAAACUUUAAAUAUGUAAGAAGUCCUUGUUACUUAGUUGAACGUGGACAUUUGAAUGCACCGUUACUAGUGGGCCAUUUUUGGUAAGCAGAACUGGCGAUGCGGGAUGAACCGAACGUGAGGUUAAGGUGCCGGAAUGCACGCUCAUCAGACACCAACCCUUUUGUGGUGUCUGUCCCGGAACUCAGCGAGUUGCGGUUUAGUUAUUGCGCCUGGGCAAUAGCGAGGUCUUUGAUCUGCGAGGAGUGCUGGAGCCGUAAUCCAGCCCACCCGCAACCAUGGUAUCCGUGGCCCACAGAUUAAGCAUAGGCCGGCGGUUCCUUCGGGGCUGCUUGAGAUAUGAUCGGCCUCGGGGCUCACGCCCGGAGACUAGGCGCAAAAGGUGUUGAUUCAUCUAGACAGUUGGACAGUGGCCAUGGAAGUCGGAAUCUGCUAAGGAGUGUUUUCAAUCUUUACACGCUCCUACGAUUAGGGUGUCGGCAAAUUUCAUCCUUGUAGGUGUAGGCAUAACCCGGAAAAGGGGUUCCCUUUAAACCUACAGUGCUGAAAUUUAACGAACAUUCAAUCUUUCUAAAUUCGUGGAAAGGCCAAGCUCAGUAUUGCCCUCCGGGCUUUAAAGGAUCUUGUGUCCAUCACGAGCCUAUUUUAUGAAAAUAGGUUUAGAGACUAAAUGGAAUGGGUUCUGUAUUUACAACAGGUCCUUGAUAUAGUCCAACCCACACCUGCAAAGGUAGGGUCGCUCGUGGUGUAACAACUCACCAACCGAAUGAAUCAGCCCUGAAAAUGGAUGGCGCUCAAGCGUGUUACCCAUACCUCACCGCCAGGGUAGAAACGAUGCCCUGGCGAGUAGGCUGACGUGGGGGUCCGUGACGAAGCCUUGGGGGUGACCCCGGGUAGAACGGCCCUAGUGC
rnacentral:rRNA from 1 species